GAUAAACGCUGGCGGCGUGCCUAAUACAUGCAAGUCGAGCGAACGGACGAGAAGCUUGCUUCUCUGAUGUUAGCGGCGGACGGGUGAGUAACACGUGGAUAACCUACCUAUAAGACUGGGAUAACUUCGGGAAACCGGAGCUAAUACCGGAUAAUAUUUUGAACCGCAUGGUUCAAAAGUGAAAGACGGUCUUGCUGUCACUUAUAGAUGGAUCCGCGCUGCAUUAGCUAGUUGGUAAGGUAACGGCUUACCAAGGCAACGAUGCAUAGCCGACCUGAGAGGGUGAUCGGCCACACUGGAACUGAGACACGGUCCAGACUCCUACGGGAGGCAGCAGUAGGGAAUCUUCCGCAAUGGGCGAAAGCCUGACGGAGCAACGCCGCGUGAGUGAUGAAGGUCUUCGGAUCGUAAAACUCUGUUAUUAGGGAAGAACAUAUGUGUAAGUAACUGUGCACAUCUUGACGGUACCUAAUCAGAAAGCCACGGCUAACUACGUGCCAGCAGCCGCGGUAAUACGUAGGUGGCAAGCGUUAUCCGGAAUUAUUGGGCGUNAAGCGCGCGUAGGCGGUUUUUUAGUCUGAUGUGAAAGCCCACGGCUCAACCGUGGAGGGUCAUUGGAAACUGGAAAACUUGAGUGCAGAAGAGGAAAGUGGAAUUCCAUGUGUAGCGGUGAAAUGCGCAGAGAUAUGGAGGAACACCAGUGGCGAAGGCGACUUUCUGGUCUGUAACUGACGCUGAUGUGCGAAAGCGUGGGGAUCAAACAGGAUUAGAUACCCUGGUAGUCCACGCCGUAAACGAUGAGUGCUAAGUGUUAGGGGGUUUCCGCCCCUUAGUGCUGCAGCUAACACAUUAAGCACUCCGCCUGGGGAGUACGACCGCAAGGUUGAAACUCAAAGGAAUUGACGGGGACCCGCACAAGCGGUGGAGCAUGUGGUUUAAUUCGAAGCAACGCGAAGAACCUUACCAAAUCUUGACAUCCUUUGACAACUCUAGAGAUAGAGCCUUCCCCUUCGGGGGACAAAGUGACAGGUGGUGCAUGGUUGUCGUCAGCUCGUGUCGUGAGAUGUUGGGUUAAGUCCCGCAACGAGCGCAACCCUUAAGCUUAGUUGCCAUCAUUAAGUUGGGCACUCUAAGUUGACUGCCGGUGACAAACCGGAGGAAGGUGGGGAUGACGUCAAAUCAUCAUGCCCCUUAUAAUUUGGGCUACACACGUGCUACAAUGGACAAUACAAAGGGCAGCGAAACCGCGAGGUCAAGCAAAUCCCAUAAAGUUGUUCUCAGUUCGGAUUGUAGUCUGCAACUCGACUACAUGAAGCUGGAAUCGCUAGUAAUCGUAGAUCAGCAUGCUACGGUGAAUACGUUCCCGGGUCU
rnacentral:rRNA from 1 species